AAUUACCACCGUAGAAGAUAAAAUGAUCAGAUGCACGGUAUACAAGCGUUCGCGCAAUAUGAUGUGAUCGUCUGCUUUUGAUGAAAGAUCCUAGAUUUAAGUCAUUUUUGGAGAUGUUUGAUCAACAAUCAACGAUGUCAAAGGUGUGGGUUUAGAAUUUCGAAAAAAGAUGCUAAUAUGGAACUGCCAAACAAUCUGAUCAGCACCAAACCUGCUGCAGCUGCAUCGGAAAGCAAUACCUGCCUGAUAUGAUGCCAAUCACUUGCAGAUGACCAAGAUCAUGUUAAGUUACGCCAGAAAGGGAGUGAUAGCAUAAAUGCUGCCAGCAAAGUUCGCUUGGACAAUAUUACUUCCCUACCCGGACAGACAGUUCAUAUGUACAUUGUCGGAAAGAUUAUUGUAACCCAAUUCGAAUCAAGUUAUCCUUAAAUAAAAAGCCAACAC